AUAAAAAAUCCCAAAGUCCAGUUGCCAAUCUUCUUCUCAAAGCGUGGAACUGACGAACUGUGUCUAAUAGGGUCAAUUUGAGGGUCAUUUUCUUCAAAGGGUUUUCUUGUUGCACUACUCGAGUUCUAUCGACAAUCAACAUGAAGAUCAUCAAACACCACAAAAGGGAAUCCUCCAGGCAUUCCUCAGGUUCAUCAAGUUUCGUGUGUGGCAUUUGUGCGGAUCGUAGACCAUCUAAGAAAUCUUUUGCUAUUAAGGGUUGUACUCACUCUUAUUGUUCUGAUUGCGUUCGACAAUACGUGACCUGCAAGAUUGAGGACAGGAUUACUCGAAUUUAUUGCCCUGUUUCGGGUUGUCAUGGCAGUUUGAAGCCGGAGCAUUGUCGUUCCAUCUUGCCCUCUAAGGUUUAUGAUAAGUGGGGAGAUGCGUUAUGCGAGGCUAUGAUUUCAGCCCGAGAUAAAUUUUACUGUCCCUUUAAAGAUUGCUCGGCACUUUUGGUUAAGGGUACUGAUUACAGGGAUAUUUUUGAAUCGGAGUGUCCUAUGUGCCAUAGGUUGUUCUGUGCUAAGUGUAAAGUUCCUUGGCAUUCUGAGAUUACAUGUAGGGAGUUUCAGAAGUUACAUAAGGAUGAGAGGGAAAGAGAGGAUAUUAUGCUCAUGCAACUUGCUAAGAAAAAGAAAUGGGCGCGGUGUUCCAAGUGCAAAUUCUAUGUUGAGAGGACUGAAGGCUGCUUAGCCAUGAGAUGCAGAUGUGGACAUACAUUCUGUUACAACUGUGGAGCUUAUGUGUCCGAUCACUACUGUACAAACUGCAAGCACUGAAUCAAGCUUCACAUAAGAAAUGGUCUUUUGUCUUUGAUCGUCUGCAUUUAACUUGAUGAGGAAAGAAGUUGGAUAAAAGCUCACUUUCAUAAUUCCUCAGAAUUCUCUGGAAAUGUCCUUUCGUUGGUACUCAGGAAUAUUAGAAAUAGAUUGUUUCGCCUCCUUUAGUAUGAGCUCAAACCGCACAACUCAUCAACAUUAGUACACUUUGACUAAUGGUUUUUAUAGAUGUAAGACAUUAUAAUCACGAAACUGUUUGUGGUUUUAUAUGCCUAAAGUUUUAUUAUAUAUUUACAUGCAUAAAACAUUGCA